rnacentral:rRNA from 1 species
UACAGAGGGGGCGAGCGUUAUUCGGAAUUAUUGGGCGUAAAGGGCGCGUAGGCGGCUUGCUAAGUUGGAUGUGAAAACUCUGGGCUUAACCCAGAGCCUGCAUCCAAAACUAGCAGGCUAGAGUUCUGGAGGGGAUAGCGGAAUUCCCAGUGUAGCGGUGAAAUGCGUAGAUAUUGGGAGGAACACCGGUGGCGAAGGCGGCUACCUGGACCGGUACUGACGCUGCGGCGCGAAAGCUAGGGUAGCAAACAGG